CCCUAAUUUCACUGCCUCACCGCCAUUCACAGCCACACUUCCCCUUUUUACCAUCAGUAGCCACCAAACCCCCAUUUCCCUUUCCCUCCACACCGCAUCGCGCACACAUAGACCUCCCUCUCGACAUCCACACUCAGCCUCACACACCUCACUCACCCUCCAUUGUCGCGCCAGCCACCCACGCAGAGAGAGAGAGAGAGAGAGAGAGAGAGAGAGAGAGAUGGAGGAGCGUCGCCGGCAGAAGGAGAGGUCAUCGCCGCUGCCGAAUCGUCGAGUCGUCGCGCCCUGCCACCGCGAAGCCACCGAACAGCAUGCGUCGUCGCCGCAGUUGGAGGAAUCCCGUGUCGCCGUCUUUCUCGCCUUUGCCGGAGAAGCCUGAGGAGACGGGGAGACAGAACACGAAGGAUGCCAUCCGCGUCACUUCUUCGUGUAUUUUGUUCCGUCUUUUGCGCGCUGAUUCCCUUUUGUUGGUUUUCUGCGCUUGUCAAAGUUCAAACCUUUCUCUGAUUUGGAUGGAUCUAGUUCCAGUUUCUCAGAAUUUGGUCUUCUGGGGUGUCGAGGAUACUUGAACGUCACUGAUUCUACCUCAAAGGCUCAACGUGCAGGUUGCCUGUUGAAGAAAAUUAUGCAAAUCAUUGAGUUGCGUGUUUCACAUCAAGCAGAAAGCAUAAAAAAUGUAAAAUUAACUUUAUAUGUUCAAUGCCUCCCUAGUAACUGUUUGAGUGAUUGGAACUACAGAGACCCUGCCUGCCUUCUCUCAACUUGUUCAAUUCUUGAGGUGAAAUGAAAUUAGAUAAAACACAUAUUUGAAUUUUGGAUGCUUUAUAUGUAAUGGAUAUAGGUAUGAUUGAUCCUUCCCUUGAUUGAGAUAUGUCUGACUGUGGAACUUUGCUACAGGGAAUAGAAAUGCAUGAGUUCUGUUGCUGAGAAGCUUGAACAAAGUAAAUUUGAGGAAAAAAAGAAACUUGCAAAUUAGGAUUUUUUCAGAAUCCAGAUAUGUGAAUUGGAAGAAUAAGGAGCAUAUUUACCUAAGUUUUGUCGAUUGCCAAUCUAGAGCUUUUCAGCAGGUGCUGAGCUUUCAAAUGGUAAAGUGGCUGAAACAAAAGUUCUCGAGCGUUGAGAAGAAAGAAUAGCAAUACCAGAAACAAUCUAUUCUAGCAGAGUCUAAGUUGUAUUGCUCCCACGCCUGUGGAACAAUUCUGUUAAUAGUGUCUAUUUAGUGUUAGUGUAUAUAUCACUGUAUAAAACUAAGAUCGAGACAAGUGUAUUCACUCAACUAUAUUGAUAUGUUAGCUGGUUACUUUAAUUAUAACU